rnacentral:tRNA from 1 species
GCCAGCAUGACAUAGUGGUUUGAGUGUUGGACUACAACUCUGAAGACCAGGGUUCAAUUCUCAGCUCAGCCA